rnacentral:lncRNA from 1 species
UAUUUUAAAACUUGUCUAUAUUUGAGGUAUACAAUGUGGUGUUCUGAUAAUACAUAUAUAUGGUGAAGUGAUUACUAUAGUUAAUUAAUAUAUUCGUCGUCUCACAUACUAUGUUAGUCCUUUCUCACACUGCUAUAAUAAAGAGUUACCUGAGACUGGGUAAUUUAUAAAGGAAAGGAGGGUUAAUUGUACCUUGGCCCCUUUUAGCCACAGCUGGAGCUGAAGCAGCUGGGACACAGGGCACCAAGUCCUGAGACUACACAGAGCUGGGGGGCCCUGGGCCUGGCACAAAAAUUAUUUUUUCCUCCUAGGCCUCUGGGCCUCUGAUGGGAGAGGCUGCCACCAAGAUCUCUGACAUGCCCUGGAGGCAUUUCCCCCAUUAUCUUGGUGAUUAACAUUGGCUACUCGUUACUUAUGCAAAUUUCUGCAGCAGGCUUGAAUUUCUCCCCAGAAAAUGGGGUUUUCUUUUUUUAUUGCAUUGUCAGACUGCAAAUUUUCCAAACUUUUAUGCUCUGCUUCCCUUUUAAAUGUAAGUUCCAAUUUCAGAUAAUCUCUAUCAAGUUCAAAAGUCCACAGAUCUCUAGGGCAAGGGCAAAAUGCCACCAGUCUCUUUGCUAAGGCAUAGCAAGAGUGACCUUUGCUUCAGUUCCCAGUAAGUUCUUCAUCUCCAUAUGAGACCACCUCAGCCUGGACUUCAUUGUCCAUAUUACUAUCAGCAUUUUGGUCAAAACCAUUCAACAAGUCUCUAGGAAGUUUCAUACUUUUCCACAUAUUUCUGUCUUCUUCUGAGCCCUCCAAACUGUUCCAAUCUCUACCCAGUUCCAAAGUCUUUUCCAUAUUUUCAGUUAUCUUUAUAGCAGUACCCCGCUGUGCUGGUACCAAUUCUCUGUAUUAGUCUAUUUUCACACUGCUAUAAAGAUACUACCUGAGACUGGGUAAUUUACAAAGAAAAGAGAUUUAAUUAACUCACAGUUUUGCAAGGCUGAGGAGGCCUCAGGAAACUUCCAAUUAUGGCAGAAGGCGAAACAGGCACCUUCUUCACAAGGUGGCAGCAAAGUGAACCCUUGUGAAGAAGGAACUGUCAAACACGCAUAAAACCAUUAGAUCUUGUGAGAACUCACUAUCACGACAACUGCAUGGGGAAACCACCCCAUGAUUCAAUCACCUCCCAUGAGGUCCUUCCCUAAACUCCUGGAGAUUACAAUUUGAGAUGAGAUUUGGGUGGGGACACAAAGUCAAACCAUAUCACAAAGUUAAUCUUUCCUUUUAGUUAAUCUUGUAGGAUUACCUAAGAUAGACCCUUCUGGCAAAUUUCCAGCAUACAGUACAAUAUUAUUAAUAAUCUUCACAUUGUACACUA